CCUGGGGCCGCGCCUGGACGCGGGCGCCUGCGACCCGGAGGGGAGUCGAGCGCGCGCUGCGUUCGCACCUGGAGAGCCACCGAACUUUGCCGUUAUCAUCGGACAAAGACUGAAAGAAAGGCAGGAAGGAGAGAAGGAAAAUCAGAACCAAGAACUGUACUUUCAGAGGAAUCAACUUCAAGGCACAAGUCAUAUCUCUUCUACCCAACUUUUGAAUCCUGGAUACUGAAAAUCGUUCCUUGCUUGGAAUGUGAACUACACAAAUGAAUACGUGAAUGAAUGAAGAUAGUGUGACAUUAAAUGAUAUGAGACAUGACAAAGUCAGAUUUGAUGGUUGAAACAAAGGUAAUUAUAGAUGAAUUUCCUAAAAGAGCAUAUAAUCUUAUUUUAAAAUAGAUUUUUAUUGAACAAAUGUAAAGUUGGACCUUAGUGCUCAUUUGUCUCUCAGUUAUGAUAUGAAUUUAGCAAUAUAUUUUGAUGUGAGAAAUAAGCUGGAAAAUACUUCACUUUGAGAUAUGCCAUGUAUGCCAUGAUAGUUUUAUGUGUUUUUUUGUAUAAUCAUCACAACAACUGAGUGAGUUAGGAAUUACCAGGGAUGACUCCAGUUUACCAUUGAACAGAGGGAAGCUAGGAGAGUGGAGAAACUUACCAAAGAGCUUGGAAGUAACAAAGCCAUGAUGUAAACUCAGAGGCCCAACCUAAAACCCAUGCUAAGAACACUGCACUGCCAGUGUAUGUAGUGGGCAGCAGCAUCUUUUGUGGCUUCUGAAUCUGCCACGUGGUGUAGCACAGUAAUCCGGUCACUUUCUGGUCUCUUCCUUUCAGCCUGAAGGAAUACAGUGUUCCUCUCAGGAAUGCAAUCUCUUGUUCCCCCUUGGUGGGCUCUGAAGAUACUUAAUUACAGGAAUGCAAAGAGGCUUAAUUUGCAAAGAUUUCUUCUGUGUUUGGAGAUGUGGGGGCUGUGAUACAGGUAAUGUGCUAAAUAAACGUCCUCAUAUUGUCUCAUGAGCAUUCCAGUGAACACUACAGACUUAGAUGAGAAGUAAGCUGUAGCGAAUAACUCAACAGAUGAAGAUCUUAUUUUCAUAUAGCUAGUUCUAGAAAAAAAAUGUGAAUAUGAAAUGUGCAUUUCAAUUCCUGCCAAAUUAAUUUCUUCCCAAAGUUUUCCAGUGGUAAUGAAAAUCAUAACUGCAGUCUAAAGUGAUAUUUUUUUCUCAUUUUCCUGGAAAUAUGAGCAUAGGAAAUUGGUUGGCUGUGAAGCGAACAUGAGGACAUUUAAAUUGAUUAUCUUUUAGUUCUUGAAUACCAUCAAGGGACAUACAGUAAUGAUAUUAGUAUGUGUGCAGUAAGGUAACUGACUCUGUACUGGUGACAUUGAGCAUAGACCACUAAGGGAGGUUGAAGUCACUGAUUCAGAGAGAUGGUGUCAGUGAAGACCAUCUUAUGUUAGUGAUCUCACAGAGGUCUUUUUUUGUUUGUACUAGGGAUUGAACCUUGGACCUUGCACUUGCAAGGCAAGGCAGGCAGCAGAACCACUGAGCCAAAUCCCUGGCCCCCAGAGGCAUUUUUUUUUUUUUUUAACUCACUUGGUAACUGGUUCUUUUCUUCACCAGUUGGGCAGAUGGGUAAUUUCUUCUGACUGUAGUACUCUUUCCUUUAGUACUUUCAACUAAACAAAAAUAAAUAAAAUGCUAACUUGGUCACCUUUCAAGACCUCAGAUAUGAAUUGAUGCCUUAUUUAAUAUGCUGGAGAAAGAACUCCAGGAAGAAGGAAGACUUAUUCUGGUUCACAGCUAUGCAAAAGAUGAGUAAAAGAGUAAAAGAUUGGGUACUGGAAGAUUUUGUUAGGCUGUGGGUGUGAGGAACCAAGAGAAACCCCCAG
rnacentral:lncRNA from 1 species